ensembl:snoRNA
CUUUGUGUGUAUGUUUCCUCAAUUGAUGGACAAAGGCAUGAGAAACAAAUAGAAAAAUAAACCCUCUUUUGCAACCCACAAUUCAUUGUUCAGUAAGAGUUUUAAUAUAAACAAGAAGGAAUAUG